ACUCAAAUGAAUUGACGGGGACCCGCACAAGCGGUGGAUCAUGUGGUUUAAUUCGAAGGUACGCGAAGAACCUUACCAAGGCUUGACAUCCUGAUCGUAUGCCUAGGAAACUAGGCAGUCAGUUCGGCUGGAUCAGUGACAGGUGUUGCAUGGCCGUUGUCAGCUCGUGUCGUGAGAUGUAGGGUUAAGUCCCGUAACGAGCGCAACCCUUAUCGUCUGUUGGAUUUUCAGGCGAGACUGCCCCGGUUAACGGGGAGGAAGGCGGGGAUGACUUCAGGUCAGCAUGGCCCUUACGCCUUGGGCUACACACGUGAUACAAUGGCCGGCACAACGGGUUGCGAAGUCGCGAGACGGAGCUAAUCCCAUCAAAACCGGUCUCAGUUCGGAUUGCAGGCUGCAACUCGCCUGCAUGAAGUUGGAAUCGCUAGUAACCGUAGGUCAGCACACCACGGUGAAUACGUUCUCGGGUCUUGUACACACCGCCCGU
rnacentral:rRNA from 1 species